rnacentral:rRNA from 1 species
AGUCGAACGGUAAGUAGUGUAGCAAUACAUUGCCUAGAGUGACGUACGGGUGCGUAACACGUAUGCAACCUACCCAGAACUGGAGUAUAGCUCGGGGAAACCCGAAUUAACCCUCCAUAAGAUCAUGGUGAAGCAUUUCACAGUGAUUAAAACUCCGGUGGUUCUGGAUGGGCAUGCGUCUGAUUAGUUAGUUGGCGGGGUAACGGCCCACCAAGACGAUGAUCAGUAGGGGAACUGAGAGGUUGAUCCCCCACACUGGCACUGAGAUACGGGCCAGACUCCUACGGGAGGCAGCAGUAGGGAAUAUUGGUCAAUGGAUGCAAGUCUGAACCAGCCAUGCCGCGUGCAGGAAGAAGGCCUUCUGGGUUGUAAACUGCUUUUGUCAGGGGAUAAAAUCACCUUGCGAGGUGAAUUGAAGGUACCUGGCGAAUAAGCCACGGCUAACUACGUGCCAGCAGCCGCGGUAAUACGUAGGUGGCAAGCGUUGUCCGGAUUUAUUGGGUUUAAAGGGUGCGUAGGCGGUCCCAUAAGUCAGUGGUGAAAUACUCUAGCUUAACUAGAGGGGUGCCRUUGAUACUGCGGGACUUGAGUGAAGUCGAAGUANGCGGAAUUGACGGUGUAGCGGUGAAAUGCUUAGAUAUCGUCAAGAACACCGAUAGUGAAGACAGCUUACUANGCUUAUACUGACGCUGANGCACGAAAGUGUGGGGAUCAAACAGGAUUAGAUACCCUGGUAGUCCACACUGUAAACGUUGAUUACUCGCUGNUGGCGAUACACUGCCAGCGGCUAANCGCAAGCGAUNAGUNAUCCACCUGGGGAGUACGCCNGCNACGGUGAAACUCAAANGAAUUGACNGNGGUCCGCACNANCGGUGGA